UACGAAGGGGGCUAGCGUUGUUCGGAUUUACUGGGCGUAAAGCGCACGUAGGCGGAUUGUUAAGUUAGAGGUGACAUCCCAGAGCUCAACUCUGGAACUGCCUUUGAAACUGGUGAUCUUGAGUACGGGAGAGGUGAGUGGAAUUCCCAGUGUAGAGGUGAAAGUCGUAGAUAUUGGGAAGAACACCGGUGGCGAAGGCGGCUCACUGGCCCGUAACUGACGCUCAGGCGCGAUAGCGUGGGGAUCAAACAGG
rnacentral:rRNA from 1 species